rnacentral:rRNA from 1 species
GCACAAGCGGUGGAGCAUGUGGUUCAAUUCGACGCAACGCGAAGAACCUUACCUGGGCUCGAAAUGCAGAUGACAUCCGGCGAAAGCCGGCUCCCGCAAGGGCAUCUGUAUAGGUGCUGCAUGGCUGUCGUCAGCUCGUGUCGUGAGAUGUUGGGUUAAGUCCCGCAACGAGCGCAACCCUCGUCCUCUGUUGCCAUCAGGUCAAGCUGGGCACUCUGAGGAGACUGCCGGUGAUAAACCGGAGGAAGGUGGGGAUGACGUCAAGUCGGCAUGGCCUUUAUGUCCAGGGCCACACACGUGCUACAAUGGCGGAUACAAAGCGCUGCAAACCCGCGAGGGUGAGCCAAUCGCAUAAAGUCCGUCUCAGUUCGGAUUGUAGGCUGCAACUCGCCUGCAUGAAGUUGGAAUCGCUAGUAAUCGCGGAUCAGCACGCCGCGGUGAAUACGUUCCCGGGC